UUUCUACUCCCUCCGUCCGAAAAUACUUGUCAUCAAAAUGGAUAAAAAGAGAUGUAUCUAAAACUAAAAUAUGUCUAGAUACAUUUCCUUUUAUCCAUUUUGAUGACAAGUAUUUCUGGACGGAGGGAGUAUUUG
rnacentral:pre_miRNA from 1 species